rnacentral:rRNA from 1 species
AGUGAACGCUGGCGGUAGGCCUAACACAUGCAAGUCGAACGGCAGCACAGUAAGAGCUUGCUCGUACGGGUGGCGAGUGGCGGACGGGUGAGGACUACAUCGGAAUCUACUUUUUCGUGGGGGAUUACGUAGGGAAACUUACGCUAAUACCGCAUACCACCUACGGGUGAAAGCAGGGGAUCUUCGGACCUUGCGCGAUUGAAUGAGCAGAAGUCGGAUUAGCUAGUUGGCGGGGUAAAGGCCCACCAAGGCGACGAUCCGUAGCUGGUCUGAGAGGAUGAUCCGCCACACUGGAUCUGAGACACGGUCCCGACACCUGCGGGAGGCAGCAGUCGGGAAUAUUAGAGAAUGGGGGCGAGCCUGAUCCUGCCAUACCGCGUGGAUGAAGAAGGCCUUCGGGUUGUAAAGCCCUUUUGUUGGGAAAGAAAAGCAGCAGGUUAAUACCCCGAUGUUCUGACGGUACCCAAAGAAUAAGCACCGGCUAACUUCGUG